rnacentral:tRNA from 1 species
UAAAUAUAAUUUAUUAAAAAUAUUAGUCUG